rnacentral:lncRNA from 1 species
CCUGGGGUCAGCAGGGCCAGCACAGGGACACUCCCUGGUGUGGAACACCCUGGGAUGAUCCUCCCCAGAGCAGGGGACCCUGGAGGGUGCUGGGCUGAGGGUGAGCUCUGCUGGGCACCAGCCAACACCAUCCUUACCCUCAACAGGCACUGGGACAAAUCCACUCUGUUCUGGAAGCAGGGACGUGCCCUGGAGCAGUUGCUGCUGUCCAAAGGCUGUGGGGGCGUUUGUGUGGCUCAGAGCUGGCCAAAAGCUGAGGCUUUGCCCUGGGACAGGGAUUCCUGUUUGAAGAGGGAAGAGAAAAUGCUGUCAGUUGAUAUUUGUGUCUGUGAAAGUUUGGGAAGUGUUUGAUCAGAGUGUGCAGGUUCUCCCCUCAAAGUGACCCUGCUGUGGUUCUGAGUGAGAGAGCAAACAGGAACACUGUGACAGCUCACUCCCAGUGUGACAAACCACAUUUCCCCCUCAGUCCAUGACUGUUUUCUCCUUGUUCUGGUGCCAGGGAGGCCGAAGGGCGUGAAGGAGCAGGAUGUUUACAUCUGUGAUUACCGCCUGGAUAAAUCUGCUCACCUCUUCUACAAGAUCCACCGCAACCGCUACCCCGUGUGCACCAAGCCCUACGCCUUCGACCACUUCCCCAAGAAACUCACACCCAAGAGGGAUUUCUCUCCUCAUUAUGUGCCAGACAACUACAAGAGGAACGGAGGCAGGUCAUCCUGGAAAUCGGAUCGCUCGAAACCACAGAUGAAAGACUUAAACCAGGAGGAGGAUUCGCUGCCGCUGAUGGAGGAGGUGCUGGGGGCCCCCGAGCAGGCUCCAGGGGAGCUGCCCAGCCCCGAGGAGCCCCACAAGGAGCCCGUGGCCAGCGAGGGCUGCGAGGCCGACAAGAAAGGGGACGAGAGCCCCUCGGACACGAGGCCGCUCUGCAGCCCCGAGGAGCGGCGGCACCUCCAGAGGGAGAGGCUCAACCAGAUCCUGCUCAACCUCCUCGAGAAAAUCCCAGGGAAAAACGCCAUCGAUGUCACGUACCUGCUGGAGGAGGGCUCGGGCCGGAAGCUGCGGCGCCGCACGCUGACCAUGGCCGAGAGCAGCUUCAGGAAGUGACCCCCGAGGGGCAGCCGAGCUCUGGGCUCUGGCUGGGCUGGGCAAGGACAGAGGGCAGCAGCAGCAGCAAACGGACAAAAUACAAACAGCAGCACCUGGGGGGCCGGGCUGGCACGGUGCCCACCCUGCUCUGCAGUGCUCUUGGUGUGUGUGUUGGUGGGCGUGCCUUGUAUUGA